AUACGGAGGAUCCGAGCGUUAUCCGGAUUUAUUGGGUUUAAAGGGAGCGUAGGUGGACUGGUAAGUCAGUUGUGAAAGUUUGCGGCUCAACCGUAAAAUUGCAGUUGAUACUGUCAGUCUUGAGUACAGUAGAGGUGGGCGGAAUUCGUGGUGUAGCGGUGAAAUGCUUAGAUAUCACGAAGAACUCCGAUUGCGAAGGCAGCUCACUGGACUGCAACUGACACUGAUGCUCGAAAGUGUGGGUAUCAAACAGGAUUAGAUACCCUGGUAGUCAAGGGCG
rnacentral:rRNA from 1 species